GGUCCGCUGGCUCAAUGGCAGAGCGUCUGACUACGACUUCAUGAAGUUAUCAGGAGGUUCCAGGUUCGACCCCUGGGUGGAUCG
rnacentral:tRNA from 1 species